CCUUUAAUGUUUGAUGUUCUAACGUGGGCCCCUGACCGGGGUUGCGGACAGUGUCUGGUGGGUAGUUUGACUGGGGCGGUCUCCUCCCAAAGCGUAACGGAGGAGCACGAAGGUUAGCUAAUCCUGGUCGGACAUCAGGAGGUUAGUGCAAUGGCAUAAGCUAGCUUGACUGCGAGCGUGACGGCGCGAGCAGGUGCGAAAGCAGGUCAUAGUGAUCCGGUGGUUCUGAAUGGAAGGGCCAUCGCUCAACGGAUAAAAGGUACUCC
rnacentral:rRNA from 1 species